UACAGAGGGGGCAAGCGUUGUUCGGAAUUACUGGGCGUAAAGGGCGCGUAGGCGGCCCGCUAAGUCGAACGUGAAAUCCCCAGGCUCAACCUGGGAACUGCGUCCGAUACUGGCAGGCUUGAAUCCGGGAGAGGUGAGUGGAACUGCGAGUGUAGAGGUGAAAUUCGUAGAUAUUCGCAAGAACACCAGUGGCGAAGGCGGCUCACUGGCCCGGUACUGACGCUGAGGUGCGAAAGCGUGGGGAGCAAACAGG
rnacentral:rRNA from 1 species